UACGAAGGGUGCAAGCGUUAAUCGGAAUUACUGGGCGUAAAGGGUGCGUAGGCGGCUUUGCAAGUUAGAGGUGAAAGCCCGAAGCUCAACUUCGGAAUUGCCUUUAAAACUGCGAGGCUAGAAUUGUGGAGAGGUAAGUGGAAUUCCGAGUGUAGAGGUGAAAUUCGUAGAUAUUCGGAAGAACACCAGUGGCGAAGGCGACUUACUGGACACAUAUUGACGCUGAGGUGCGAAAGCGUGGGGAGCAAACAGG
rnacentral:rRNA from 1 species